rnacentral:rRNA from 1 species
AAUGAACGUUGGCGGCGUGGAUUAGGCAUGCAAGUCGAGCGAGAACCCCGCAAGGGGGGACAGCGGCAAACGGGGGAGUAACGGGUAGGUGACGUACCCUCGGGUCGGGGAUAGCCACGGGAAACUGUGGGUAAUACCCGAUAAUCUCCCGAAGUGGGAAUGCUUUGGGAGCAAAGGUGUGAUUCCACCUGGGGAGCGGCCUGCUUCGUAUUAGCUAGUUGGUGAGGUAACGGCUCACCAAGGCGACGAUGCGUAGGGGGUGUGAGAGCAUGACCCCCACCACUGGGACUGAGAUACUGCCCAGACACCUACGGGUGGCUGCAGUCGAGAAUCUUCGGCAAUGGGCGCAAGCCUGACCGAGCGACGCCGCGUGUGGGAUGAAGGCCCUUGGGUUGUAAACCACUGUCAGAGGGGAUGAAGUGCCAGAGAGCAAUCUCUCUGGUUUGACAUAGCCUCAGAGGAAGCACGGGCUAAGUUCGUGCCAGCAGCCGCCGUAACAC